AUACUUGGUGUGAAUUGCARAAUCCCGUGAACCAUMGAGUUUUUGAACGCAAGUUGCGCCCGAAGCCAUUAGGCCGAGGGCACGC
rnacentral:rRNA from 1 species